rnacentral:misc_RNA from 1 species
AACGCAUAUUGCGCUCCCUGGUAUUCCAAGGAGCACGCCCGUUUCAGAAUCAGAAAAUCCCUCAUUUCUACAACAUUUGGUACAUCCAUCCUUGAUGGACCCCAAUGGGCAUGGAAAUAAAUACUGGAUGUUUUGCUAUACUGAGCAAGCUUGAUCUUGUUAGCAUUGCAAUCAUCUAAAAAUGAAUUGUGGAUGCUCCCCAGCAGAUUGCUCCUGGGCCUGCCAAAGUGCAACAGAUAAUUACUUUAAUUUUGUCUUGAAACACAUUGGCUAUGGUUAUCUCGGCAAUAACUGGGAAUUUUUAGUAUCCAUUCUGUUAAAGAAUGCUCUUGACAACAUGGUCUGAAAUCGGGCGGGAAAACCCGCUGAACUUAA